GCUCGCUUCAGAACAGCACAUACUAAAACUGGAAUGAUACAGAGAAGAUUAGCAUGGUCCCUGAGCAAAGAUGACAUGCACAUUCGUGAAGCGUUCCAUACUAAA